rnacentral:rRNA from 1 species
AGAGCGAACGCUGGCGGCGUGCCUAAUACAUGCAAGUCGAGCGGUAAGGCCCCUUCGGGGGUACACGAGCGGCGGACGGCUGAGUAACACGUAGGAACGUACCCCAAACUGAGGCAUAAGCACCAGAAAUGGUGUCUAAUACCGCAUGUGCUCUUCGGAGUAAAGCUACGGCGGUUUGGGAACGGCCUGCGCAUGAUUAGCUUGUUGGUGAGGUAAUGGCUCACCAAGGCGACGAUCAUUAGCUGGUCUGAGAGGAUGAUCAGCCAGACUGGGACUGAGAACGGCCCAGACUCCUACGGGAGGCAGCAGUAGGGAAUUUUCCACAAUGGGCGAAAGCCUGAUGGAGCAACGCCGCGUGCAGGAUGAAUGCCUUCGGGUUGUAAACUGCUUUUAUCUGUGACGAAUAUGACGGUAGCAGAUGAAUAAGGAUCGGCUAACUCCGCGCCAGCAGCCGCGGU